rnacentral:rRNA from 1 species
UACAGAGGGGGCAAGCGUUAUUCGGAAUUAUUGGGCGUAAAGGGCGCGUAGGCGGUCGGACAAGUGGAAGGUGAAAUCCCCGGGCUCAACCUGGGAACUGCCCUCCAAACUGUUUGACUUGAGUCCGGGAGAGGGAUGCGGAAUUCCAGGUGUAGCGGUGAAAUGCGUAGAUAUCUGGAGGAACACCGGUGGCGAAGGCGGCAUCCUGGACCGGCAUUGACGCUGAGGAGCGAAAGCCAGGGGAGCAAACGGG